rnacentral:miRNA from 1 species
AUCCUUAGAAUGCAGAUUAUC